ACUCCUACGGGAGGCAGCAGUGGGAAUAUUGCACAAUGGAGGAAACUCUGAUGCAGCAACGCCGCGUGGAGGAUGACACUUUUCGGAGCGUAAACUCCUUUAUAUAGGAAGAUAAUGACGGUACUAUAUGAAUAAGCACCGGCUAACUCCGUGCCAGCAGCCGCGGUAAUACGGAGGGUGCAAGCGUUACUCGGAAUCACUGGGCGUAAAGAGCGUGUAGGCGGGUUAUUAAGUCAGAAGUGAAAUCCUAUGGCUCAACCAUAGAACUGCUUUUGAAACUGGUAACCUAGAGUAUGGGAGAGGUAGAUGGAAUUUCUGGUGUAGGGGUAAAAUCCGUAGAGAUCAGAAGGAAUACCGAUUGCGAAGGCGAUCUACUGGAACAUUACUGACGCUGAGACGCGAAAGCGUGGGGA
rnacentral:rRNA from 1 species